ensembl:lncRNA
GUAGGAUGGAGAGAGAGAUGGACUACAAACUGGGACAGGUAGGAUGGAGAGAGAGAUGGACUACAAACUGGGACAGGUAGGAUGGAGAGAGAGAUGGACUACAAACGGGGACAGGUAGGAUGGAGAGAGAGAUGGACUACAAACUGGGACAGGUAGGAUGGAGAGAGAGAUGGACUACAAACUGGGACAGGUAGGAUGGAGAGAGAGAUGGGCAACAUGGACUACAAACUGGGACAGGUAGGAUGGAGAGAGAGAUGGACUACAAACGGGGACAGGUAGGAUGGAGAGAGAGAUGGACUACAAACGGGGACAGGUAGGAUGGAGAGAGAUGGACUACAAACUGGGACAGGUAGGAUGGAAGGAGAGAGAGAUGGGGAACAUGGACUACAAACUGGGACAGGUAGGAUGGAGGGAUGGAAGGAGAGAGAGAUGGACUACAAACUGCGACAGGUAGGAUGGAGGGAGAGAGAUGGGACACAUGGGCUACAAACUGGGACUGGAGGGAUGGAAGGAGAGAGAGAUGGACUACAAACUGGGACAGGUAGGAUGGAGGGAGAGAGAGAUGGGACACAUGGAC